rnacentral:rRNA from 1 species
GGCGGACGGGUGAGUAAUGUCUGGGAAACUGCCUGAUGGAGGGGGAUAACUACUGGAAACGGUAGCUAAUACCGCAUAACGUCGCAAGACCAAAGUGGGGGACCUUCGGGCCUCAUGCCAUCAGAUGUGCCCAGAUGGGAUUAGCUAGUAGGUGGGGUAACGGCUCACCUAGGCGACGAUCCCUAGCUGGUCUGAGAGGAUGACCAGCCACACUGGAACUGAGACACGGUCCAGACUCCUACGGGAGGCAGCAGUGGGGAAUAUUGCACAAUGGGCGCAAGCCUGAUGCAGCCAUGCCGCGUGUGUGAAGAAGGCCUUCGGGUUGUAAAGCACUUUCAGCGGGGAGGAAGGCGUUAAGGUUAAUAACCUUGUCGAUUGACGUUACCCGCAGAAGAAGCACCGGCUAACUCCGUGCCAGCAGCCGCGGUAAUACGGAGGGUGCAAGCGUUAAUCGGAAUUACUGGGCGUAAAGCGCACGCAGGCGGUCUGUCAAGUCGGAUGUGAAAUCCCCGGGCUCAACCUGGGAACUGCAUUCGAAACUGGCAGGCUAGAGUCUUGUAGAGGGGGGUAGAAUUCCAGGUGUAGCGGUGAAAUGCGUAGAGAUCUGGAGGAAUACCGGUGGCGAAGGCGGCCCCCUGGACAAAGACUGACGCUCAGGUGCAAAAGCGUGGGGAGCAAACAGGAUUAGAUACCCUGGUAGUCCACGCCGUAAACGAUGUCGAUUUGGAGGUUGUGCCCUUGAGGCGUGGCUUCCGGAGCUAACGCGUUAAAUCGACCGCCUGGGGAGUACGGCCGCAAGGUUAAAACUCAAAUGAAUUGACGGGGGCCCGCACAAGCGGUGGAGCAUGUGGUUUAAUUCGAUGCAACGCGAAGAACCUUACCUGGUCUUGACAUCCACAGAACUUUCCAGAGAUGGAUUGGUGCCUUCGGGAACUGUGAGACAGGUGCUGCAUGGCUGUCGUCAGCUCGUGUUGUGAAAUGUUGGGUUAAGUCCCGCAACGAGCGCAACCCUUAUCCUUUGUUGCCAGCGGUUCGGCCGGGAACUCAAAGGAGACUGCCAGUGAUAAACUGGAGGAAGGUGGGGAUGA